UACGGAGGGGGCUAGCGUUGUUCGGAAUUACUGGGCGUAAAGCGCACGUAGGCGGUUUGUUAAGUCGGAUGUGAAAUCCCUCGGCUCAACUGAGGAAGUGCACCCGAAACUGGCAGGCUUGAGUACUAAAGAGGGUCGCGGAAUUCCCGGUGUAGAGGUGAAAUUCGUAGAUAUCGGGAGGAACACCGGUGGCGAAGGCGGCGACCUGGGUAGAUACUGACGCUGAGGUGCGAAAGCGUGGGGAGCAAACAGG
rnacentral:rRNA from 1 species